rnacentral:rRNA from 1 species
UACGUAGGGGGCAAGCGUUGUCCGGAAUCAUUGGGCGUAAAGCGCGUGUAGGCGGUCCGGUAAGUCCGCUGUGAAAGUCGGGGGCUCAACCCUCGGAUGCCGGUGGAUACUGUCGGGCUUGAGUACGGAAGAGGCGAGUGGAAUUCCUGGUGUAGCGGUGAAAUGCACAGAUAUCAGGAGGAACACCAAUUGCGAAGGCAGCUCGCUGGGACGUUACUGACGCUGAGACGCGAAAGCGUGGGGAGCAAACAGG